AUACGAAGGGGGCUAGCGUUGUUCGGAAUUACUGGGCGUAAAGCGCGCGUAGGCGGACUGAUCAGUUGGGGGUGAAAUCCCAGGGCUUAACCCUGGAACUGCCUCCAAUACUGUCAGUCUUGAGUUCGGGAGAGGUGAGUGGAAUUCCUAGUGUAGAGGUGAAAUUCGCAGAUAUUAGGAAGAACACCAGUGGCGAAGGCGGCUCACUGGCCCGAUACUGACGCUGAGGCGCGAAAGCGUGGGGAGCAAACAGGAUUAGAAACCCUAGUAGUCC
rnacentral:rRNA from 1 species